UGAAGUGCUGUGGAUUUCUUUGUGAAUCACCAAUCAAAUCUAAUGUGGUGGUUUACAAAGUAAUUCAUAGUGCUUCA
rnacentral:pre_miRNA from 1 species